UCUCGCACAAUAUCUGGACAUCGGUGGGCAUGCAACAUUGCAAAACCACACGUUUACAUAUGAAAAUCAUCACUCAGACUAUAGUCAUAAAGUAGGACAAUAAAUGAACAAAAGACAAACCCGGGACAGUCACAUAGAAGUACAAACAAUAGACCAUCAACUAUGUUGAAAACUAAAAGUAAAAUAGAAACAUGGAUCACGAAAAACAUGCAGGGGC
rnacentral:lncRNA from 1 species